AGGAUGAAUGAAACAGACCAGGCAAUGGUCAGGGCAGGCAGCAAAGGAUCAAAAACCAGGUAAACAGUCCAAGGCAAAACA